rnacentral:misc_RNA from 1 species
GCCAUUACAAGUGCUUACUAUAGGGGUGCUCUUGGAGCUCUUCUGGUAUAUGAUGUGACAAAACCCACUACCUUUGAGAAUGUUAGUCGGUGGUUGAAGGAACUGAGGGACCAUGCAGAUUCAAACAUUGUGAUUAUGCUCAUUGGAAACAAAACCGAUCUGAAGCACCUCAGAGCAGUUGCUACUGAGGAUGCUCAAAGCUUUGCUGAAAAAGAGGGCCUUUCUUUCAUUGAAACGUCUGCAUUGGAGGCAACAAAUGUAGAGAAGUCUUUCCAGACAAUUCUUUCAGAAAUCUAUCGGAUAAUCAGUAAGAAGCCACUUUCUUCAGAGGAGCCAGCAAAUGCUAACAUCAAAGAAGGAAAGACUCUUGUUGUUGGGGCAGAGGAGCCUGCUCCCAAGAAGGCAUGUUGCUCUGCAUAGUAAUGGUCAUUAGUUUUUUAAGCCUCUAAAUUGUUCCUUUUGUUAGUGGUAAUUACUACUGUUUCUUUCUCUUUUUUCUCUUCUAUAUUUUUGGUUUAUGAUAUACCUAUUUUCAUCAUUAGGAAUGUUCAUGUGCA